CCUCCUGACGCCCUCCUCCCCAUCUCCGAUUCCUCCUCGGCCCGCGAUUCCUUCUCUCCUCGCCGCAUCCCCGUCCCUGUGCCCUUCUCCAAACUCCGCCAUCCCCGUCCCGUACUCCCUCCCUUGGAAAAGAUCAAUUGGAGGAGUAAUUCCGGCUUCAUCCGGUGGUGGCGAUGCCGGAAAAUAUCGAUUUUUUUUCGACGGGAGGAGUAAUUCCGGCUUGAUCCGGUGGUGCCGAUGCCGGAUCCUGCGACGGCGCCGACGCGAGCCACCAAGGGCCGUGGACUCCCUCUCCGGCUGCGAUUCCGCCAAACCCUGCCGUCUCGGCGUCCCAGCGACCAUCUCCGAGGCGGAUAAAAUCGUUUCUUUCGGUAGCAGCCCGAGGAGAAGGCCCGGACAAAUCCUCGGAGCAGUAAGCCCGCUGCUCUAGCACCUUUCCUCACCGCCGUCGUCAUCAAGAUCACAAGAGCAGGACUCUUUGGACGGUGCUGAAGAUUGACCGGUUGGAGUCUAUUGAUUUGGGUAUCCAGGAGUAUCCUACUAGUUACACGGAGAAUUGAUUGUCAAGAACUAAUUUGGCGGAUUCACGAGGGAAAUAGGUUUUCUGAAGUUUCUUGGUCCUUACUACAUGGUUGCAAUUACCAGGAGAAGAAAAGUUGGCACAAUCUGUGGCCAUGAUAUUUUUAUUCAAUUGGAAAGAUGAAAUGGUUGCAAUAGAAAUCUGCAUUUAAGUCUUCAGCUCUCAUAUUCUUUUUGUGGUUUAUUUAUUUAUACACUCAGAGAGAGGACUGGUUAGCUUAGGCCAUCGGAGUAUCUGUUUGAUUGAUGUGAUGAAUUUCAAUUUUGCCUUGGAGUAUUUAUUUAUUGAGCUUUACCUGUCUUUUUCUCAGGUUCUCUUGGUGGUCGGAAUUUUGCAAGGUGAAGUUGGUCCUAUGAUUUCUGUCAUGAAAAUUGAAAUGACACAUUUGGAGUCUUGUUCUGAUGUCGGUGGUUUACAUGUUCCAAUUCAAGAUAUUAAAGAAGCAGUUGAACUUCCCGAGGGAAAGCUCUACUUGCAAAGCUUGGAAGGUGGAUUAGCUGGGGGAGGAACCAAGAAGCUUUAGGCCCAAGAACUUCGUGUGGACCAUGACCUCCUCAGUGUUGCCAAGCAGCACAACAUUCUCCACUGGUAGGCAUUCGUUGACGAGAAGCUUGGCCAAACCCAGUAGGUAUGCGUGGAAUUAUUGAGCUCAGGUUUUUUGGGAUUAAGAUUCUUACACCAAAGGAUCACUAUAUACCAAGACUUCGAGGAUGAUAAGAGCGGAAGAUUUGGAUUUAAUUGUUAGGCUCGAUGGCUCAAAAUACGACAAGGAAUCAACUGAAAGAGGAACAUGUAUGAAUCGUACGGAAGAACUACUAUAUGCUAUUAAGAAUAAUUCGGUGUCUAAGAAACAUGGCGAUAUUAUAAUAAUCUUUCGGAUCCAUAUAUAUUUCAUUACUAGAUACAUCUGUUUGGCAUAAGUUUCUUUUCAUUCUGAACCUAAUAAUAUCUCCAUGCUUUUAGAGGUUAUUUAGCUAAUACUUCCUCCGUCC